AGGCCUAAAUUUACAUACAACACAACAUUAGAAAAUUUAAAAAACCAAUCAAUUUGUAGCCAGAGAAGACCGUUCUCUUUAACUGAAACUUAUCAUUCAAUACUUGAUGGCCCUUCACCCAUUUCUUGCUUCUUUGAUAAUGGUGGGGUCAGUUUAAAGCUCCAAAAGACUGCUCCUAUUAGCACACCCGCUCACUCUCAUUCUCAACAUCACCUUUUCAAAAGCCUGCCAUUCUUAUCUAACUACAAAAUAAGAACCAAAUCGACUGCUUCAUUGUAGAGUGCACAACUUUUAUGAUUUCGGAUACCAAAGAACCAAUAAAGAUAGUGUGAAAGAGUGGCAAGAUAGAUACCUUUCUUUUCCCUUUAAAAUUCCGAAGUUCCUUUUUAGCCUUCCCGUAAUGACCUGUGCCCAUGGCUAUGGGCGAUGCUGCUUAUUGAGCAUCAGUUUGAUGCAAAGGCGUUUCACGUGGCUAAAGGGAAUGAAGAUGGACUGAGAAUAUUAAAAAGAAGAAGAUGACAAUAAAGAAGCCCUUGGGAUGGAAGCCCUUUGAGUGAAACUUCCUGUCAUUUGCUUGUAUUAUAAUCAUAAUCAUAAUCAGAGUCGGGGAUACUCGUGAUAGUUAUAGAGAACAUCUAGAAAGAAAAAGGAGAGCUAACAUUCACGUUUACCCAUCUAAGAUACAUUUUCAACCUCCAUUUUGAUUGACUACGAGGCUAGACCUUCCCAACUCACCCAACUUUGAAACAAACUUUCCAACUAGAAAAGGAAACAAAACAAAAAAAGCAUUCCUGUUCCUAGUUCCCACCACUUUUCUGUAGUGGGAAAAACACAAAAUAAAGAAAUCCUAUGUUGAGAGUUGAAGGUACCUUGUUGAGAGUACCAACAUGGCUAAGAUAUCGGAUUUUGCACAGAAGCUGUUAGAUGACCUUCGGUUGCAGAAGGAACGGAUGGCUGCCUCUCAGAGCUCAAAGGGUACAAAUCCAAUGGUUGCAGGUGAGCAUUUUCCUGAAACCUACGCAAUAAGCACCCGUAGUGGAACAUGUAUUAAAUAACAAGUUUACAACAUCCUUCAACAAAUCAGUUAAAACCCUGCAAAAAAAAAUCUUGUGGGUCAUGAUUCUUUUUCAAUUUCUUCUAGACAUUAGAAAAACUGGAGGCAUUACUUAUGCACAUUUCAAAGCUAAUUAAUGCUAAUGAGAAAACGAUCAUCCAAAUAUGCAAAUCAAACACAUGCGAUUGAUGAAAUGCAUAAUUUGAGCAUUAACCACUAUUCUUUGUUUUCUUUCCCAUAUGGAAAUACAUAUUGUUAAUUGUAUUCCCUUACCUAACAAAACCAGCCUCGUGAUUAAGCAAUAAUUCUUUGCUCUUGGAGACAUUGAUUGAAGAAGCUAAGAGAGGGAGGAAUCUUUUGCACUUUUUCUUUAAACGGAAUCAAGUUUUGUCUGGUAUAGGUUGUAUUCAGCAUAAUUGCUCCUCUCCUACCCGCUUCCAGAAUCCAGACUAAUAUUUAGAAGACCAUGCUCGAAAAACAUUGCAUGUAAAUAAAACUUCAGAGAUGAGAAAACAGUUUAUUUCACAUGAGAAUAUAAAGACUAGACUCAUGAUAAUGGAGCUUUAGUUGGCUAGCAAAACCCAUCAAUAAGCAACAGAAAUGCAUAAUUUGCUUUGUUCCUUUUGUUGCACUUGAGCAGAUGCAUAUGCUUACUCCAAGACAGCCUAUAAAUCAUCCAGGGAAUCAAAGACACUGAAAACAGUAAGUUUCCAAAGAUCAAGAGUAGUGAUCGGUUCCUGCAUCAUAUUAAUUAUUUCAUUUCGUUAAAAUGUUUGGCUUCAUGCAGACUGGUUUUAGAGUUGAAAGCACACAAAAGAUGGCUAGUGGAGGCAGGAAGACACUGUUGUUCCAAUAGGGUCGGAAGCGUGUAAAUUAUUGUACUAAAAAAUCACACAAAGUUCAAUUCCCAGGAAAGAGAGGUGGAUCACAAGGAUCUCUUAAAUACCAAGUCUUUCCUUAGUCAAAAUAGGACAAAAAGAACAUAAGAGUUUUAACGAGGUUCGGUAAAUUAUACCUACGUCCUCGGGCACUAACACCAGAUGAUAACUUUACUAUCUCCAAAAUAUUAUAAACAAAUAGAAUUUCUUAAGAAUUCUCAAAUGGGAGAAGAGAGAAAACUAAGAGAGAAAGAUUGGUUGGGAUAGUGUAAAUGAGAAAUGGUUAGACCUAUUUAUAGUUGAGGUUCAGGGACUAACUUAUAAAUGGCCUAAAAAAUUAGGGACCAAAAUUGCAAUUAUCCCAUUUAACUUUAAACAACUUGCCUACCAUUUUUUUCUUUCGGUGCCACUUGCACCUCCCAUUUUUUGACUUUUCAACACCCCUUUUAAUUUGUCUUUUCAACAGACACCACUGAGAAGGUAUAGAAUCAAAUUGUUCCUUUUGGUAGAGGCCAGAAGUCAGAACAAAUAGGAAAUCUGUCAAUGGCCCUGGCUUUUGCAAUUGAAAAUGGAGGAAAGCUAAGAGCAGAGUCUUCGGGCAAAAGUUCAAUUUUCAGUUUCUGCAUAGCAUGGGUAGGAAACAGCUGGGUCACAGAAAGAUGGAAAGAAGAAACAGUAGUGUGAUAGUCAUCAACCUUCAAGAUGCCAACUACCUACUCUCUCACAUCUCCAUAUUGAAGAAAUAUCAAGGGGUGUACAAAAGUUGAACCAGAUCCUCAAAGCCUGCUCUAAUGGACUCAACUUUGACAGAUAUUUGAUAGAAAUUGGAAGGGAACUAUUAAAAGGAGCAAGGGAUUUAGAGGAAUCUCUAGGGAUGCUUGUAAAACUGCAGGAGGAUUCAGAGUACAUGAUAAGGCCACAGAGAAAAAGUCGGAUAACAUUGCUAGAGGAGGAUGAAGAUGAUGAGAACACUGUCAAAAUAGUUGAUCAAAUGCAAUUGGGAAGGCCAAGAUUUUCGAAUUAUAAUGACAUUCAAGGAGUUGCAAGGACUGAUCUCAGGCUGAGGCUGGCAGCUCUUACCUACUCUUCAGAUGUUAGUGAUUCCAAACAUAAGAAUGAUGUUCUAGCUUCCUCAAAUUCACAUUCUCACAAGCGAUCAGUUAGCUAUGUUCCAGACACCAAAUCUAACACUGCGUUCUCAGAACAAAGCCCCUCCAGUUCAGUGCACUUCAAACAAGGAAAGUCAAGAAUUUCAAAUGUAAUCGCGAAAGUGAUGGGGCUUGAUGAAAAUCCCAGAAACAUAGAUUCAAAGGUCACCACAAAGGUGGCGUGAAAUCAAAAGGUAGUAGGAGUGGUUACAAAGACACCAGCAAAGGAUACCAAGAAGGCUGAACAAGGAACAAAAGAUUCUGCAGCGCUGGCUCAUCGUCUCCCACCAAUAAAAGAAAAGGCAACAACAGCCAGCAAGACUCCAUUGACUCAGGACAAAGUUACAGCACAAGCUGGAAAAACUUUGACAACUAGAAAUGGCAGCACAAGAGUUGCUGCUCAUGACAAAUUACCACCACAAAAGAACUUCAAAGACAUAAAACCAGUGACGAGCUUGAGAAAAGCCUUGAUCAAGGUAGACAAACAACAAGGUGAAAUUAACCACUUGAACCUUAACUCUGGAAAUAGAAAGGAAAUCCAGGAAAAGGAGAGCGAACAGAAUAGUAUAAAGUACAGGGAAAAGAAGGGCAUUGAAAGAAUUGACAUAAAGAAACCAGUUCUCAUUCUCAAGGAUGGGAUGCAGCACAUGAUACCACAUGUGCAUAAAACAUCAGAAUUUGCACUUACAUUGCAAGAGAAACCAGAAUAUAGCGAAUGCAUACCUCAAAGGGAAAGCAGACAUGCUAACAAGCUUCUCCUAGGCAAUCAACAAAAGCUGCAAAGUAACCAUGGAUUUCAAGGGGUGCAAAUGCUCCAAAAAUCAGAGCUUCGUUGCAAAAAGCAACAGUCAGAACUGAAGGAAGAAUAAAGUACUGAACAGAAAUUGCAGAGGAAGAAACAAAAGGGAAAUGAACUAUUCUCCAAACAAAUGUCAGGUGCAACCAAUUUGCAAAAGAAGCAGCCACAAAUGAAACAAGCAGAAACUAGUAGGAAAGGCCCCAGAAAACAUAUUGAUGUAACAAAAUUAAAUGGAUUUCCAGGUGGCAGGCACCGCCAAAACCUAGCCUGGGCUGGCAGUUCAAAAAUUAAAGGUUCAUUAGACAGAAACUCUGGUCAGCAUUACACUCAAGGAGCUAUCGAAUCUGAAUCUGCAAAAGAUCAAAACCUGUUUGCUGUGGAUGAGAAACCUGUUCAAGGGCAAACAACAAUGAAGGCAAGAACCAUAAAUGUGUAUAAACAUGGGAGUUCCAUUUCACAAGAUAUGGAAAAGGCAAGGCAGGAGAAACUUGCCAUCUCAAGCGAAGCAGAUCAAAUGAAAACCAGCAGAUUUGAAGAAGUGGAACCACAGAUCAUUAGAUCCAAUAAGUCAAAGUGUAGAAGCACAGAAAAAUUCUAUUUUGUGCAGUCCUCUAGAAGAUGGAUGCCAAAGCCUAAAUGAACUACAAGCUUUGGCUUGGAGAGAGAAUGUAAGAUCCCUUAACCAAUUAUCAGAUGAUGCCACUUUUGUACUUAUUGGUGGAGCCAAAAUAACUCUCUUCGUCUCAUGCAGUGUCAAAAUUCAGUGCCAUUGGUUACAAAAGAACAGCAAGAUCAAGAACCUGAUUUUGGCAAAGCCGAAGAGCUCAAGUUUAAGAACAACAUAUCUGAACCACUACAUGGUAAGUACAAUUUGAACCCAAUGCCUAUUUUCACAUUUUCAAAAGAUGACCUUUAUCCAUUAUUAUUUUAUGAAAUGCUUUUAUUUAACUAAAAAGGACUAUGAACAUUAGCUUAGACCAAUUUCUAUGAUUUUGAGAUAGAUGCUCAUUAGCACGCCCAAUGAGACAAGCACGUAUAGAUGACCAUGCAUAAGGUGCCCUGUUUUAUGAUAUAUGGAGACUGAAUCAUAGAAGGUUGACUAUAUCUAUAUUAUCCAGCGGACCAGCUCUCUUGAGAAAACCUUAAUUUACUUCCAAUCUUUCUAACAAUUAAGUCCAUAGUAGUGGCAGCAUCAGAUGCUUCUUUUAAUGUUUCGGGCUGGGUGGGUGGUUUGGGAAGGGAGGAAGGAAGAAGAUUAUCUGCUAAAGUUCAUCGCAUUUCAGGAACUCGUGAAGAGAGUAGAGAAAUCCCUUGCACCCCCCAGUCGCAGUAUCAAAGAACUUGUGCUUCAGAGAUGCCAGAGCCACUGACAGAGAGUGAAAAUCACCCAAAUGAGAUACUUACGAAAAGUGGACUAUUUAUGAACACAGCAGAAGCACUUUUCAAACUCAACAUUCUUCAUACAAACAGUCACAACCAUCAGGACAAGAGAGCAAGCUCGUUUUAGACUGUGGCUACGAAGUAAUGAAGAGUAAAGGAAUAAGACAGGAGCUAAGUGUUCACCCAUUUCUAAAGGUAACCAUCAUUCCAAACAAGGAGAAAACUUUGGAUGAAUUGGUCAAGCAAAUGAGUGAAGACAUCGAUAAGUUGAAAUUAUACAGAAGGGGCCGAAGAGAAAAUUCCCCCUUCGAAGACUAUCUACCAAAAAUGCUUGAAGCCGAUGUGAACAACAAGGAACCUCAUCUGAAUUGUAUGUGGGACAAGGGUCGGAACAGCAUGAUGUUUGCAUUUCUUGAGAAAGAUGAUGUUGUAAGGGAUGCGGAGAAGUAUGUGCUUAAUGGACUCCUAGAUGAGAUGACCAGAGAUAUUUUCACAGGCGUAAGUGUUUCAGUUUAACUGUAAUAUUCUCCCAGAAAAUCCAAAUUAUUUAAGCAAAUUGGUUUAACAUUUCUGUUUGUAUCUGCGAUAAACCUUCUACGUCUCCAUAGCUUCUUUUUUCCACUUAGGUACAUAAAUAUUGUGAUUAUUAUUUGCAGAAUUCCAAAUUUUCAAUUGUUUGCUUGUAAAUUAAUGAUUAAUUGCAGUUUUAUCCAUUUCUCUAUGGAUUCUAAGGCAGAUUUUAUUACUGAACGCGCAUUAUUAAGUAUAAACAAGAAAAAAGAAAAAGAUAGUAAAAAAGUUCAGAUAAUAAAUAGGGAGCAAAAUCAAAGGGAAAAACGGCGUAGAUGAACAAAAAAGGGUGACGUUUACCUGAUCUUGAACUAGUUUUUUGAAGGACGAAAAUGGAAGAUCAAUCUUCUGCUCCAAACUUCAACUUUAAUGUAAUUUUUUAAGAAUCAACGAAAGUUGGACUCGGAGCGGUAAAUUCAAACCUUUCAUUUCUUUUGCUUCUUGUUUAUAUCCUCG
rnacentral:lncRNA from 1 species